rnacentral:rRNA from 1 species
CACAUGCAAGUCGAACGAGAGAGAAGGAGCUUGCUUCUUCGAUCGAGUGGCGAACGGGUGAGUAACGCGUGAGGAACCUGCCUCAAAGAGGGGGACAACAGUUGGAAACGACUGCUAGUACCGCAUAAGCCCACGGGUCGGCAUCGACCUGAGGGAAAAGGAGUGAUCCGCUUUGAGAUGGCCUCGCGUCCGAUUAGCUAGUUGGUGAGGUAAUGGCCCACCAAGGCGACGAUCGGUAGCCGGACUGAGAGGUUGAACGGCCACAUUGGGACUGAGACACGGCCCAGACUCCUACGGGAGGCAGCAGUGGGGAAUAUUGCACAAUGGGGGAAACCCUGAUGCAGCGACGCCGCGUGGAGGAAGAAGGUCUUCGGAUUGUAAACUCCUGUUGUUGAGGAAGAUAAUGACGGUACUCAACAAGGAAGUGACGGCUAACUACGUGCCAGCAGCCGCGGUAAAACGUAGGUCACAAGCGUUGUCCGGAAUUACUGGGUGUAAAGGGAGCGCAGGCGGGAAGACAAGUUGGAAGUGAAAUCUAUGGGCUCAACCCAUAAACUGCUUUCAAAACUGUUUUUCUUGAGUAGUGCAGAGGUAGGCGGAAUUCCCGGUGUAGCGGUGGAAUGCGUAGAUAUCGGGAGGAACACCAGUGGCGAAGGCGGCCUACUGGGCACCAACUGACGCUGAGGCUCGAAAGUGUGGGUAGCAAACAGGAUUAGAUACCCUGGUAGUCCACACCGUAAACGAUGAUUACUAGGUGUUGGAGGAUUGACCCCUUCAGUGCCGCAGUUAACACAAUAAGUAAUCCACCUGGGGAGUACGACCGCAAGGUUGAAACUCAAAGGAAUUGACGGG